ACGUGUACAAAUUUCUCCGACCUGCCACAGUAAGAGGUGUUCUAUGCCACUCCUUCUUUGUCUCAUUUAGACCACCAAAUGUUUUAUGCUGUGCGUGAAUGUACAAAGUACCUCUGUGGACACCCUAGGGGUCACGGACUCCCUGUUGAAGACCUCUGAUUUACAGGCGCCAAAGAGGGCGAGGAGGUGAGGAGGAAGAUUGACGAAGAGGAGCAUGAUGAAGCAUGUUGGAGCAACACUACUCGUGGCAGACUUCAUGAGAGCCUACGACGACUACUUUGGGACAAAUGAUCCAGAAACUUAUAUUUUUUAACCUGAAUAUACAGAGGCUGUUACGUGCGGGGGGUCGCAGCUUGCUGCGAGGUUUGUUCCCCCGGGAUGCAAACGGACCACUCCGGACAGGACGUGCAGGUAGGAACAUGAUUUAUUCUUCAAAACUCAAGGAAGCACCAAAAACCGAAAACAAGCCGAAGCAACAACGUGCCGAUCGCACUGGAAGCUAAGGCUACCACUUAGCAUAGACUAGAAGACAAGGAAUACUCACGUAGCAGGUUGCGUGUAGCAAACAAAGAAGCCAGGCCGACUGAUCGGCAAAGGCAGGGUUAAAUAAUGCCUCUGAUUAGUGCUCGAGGAACAGGUGAGCGUCCCGAACACCAAUCAGAGGCAGGGGAAAAUAAUAAGUAGCCAAGGUAACGAAACAAACUCAAGGGUGCACAGGGAACAGGUGAGCGUCCCGAACACCAAUCAGACGCAGGUGAAUAUAAUAAGUAGCCAAGGUAACUAAACAAACUCAUGGGUGCUCAACAACAGGAAUUAAGGGAGUCCAAAACUAACAGAAAAUAACAAAAACAUGAUCCGGGCCACGGAUCAUGACAGAGGCUGAGCUACAAGUUUUCGAAGCUGAGUGGUAAGCAGAUCCAGCAGACCGCUCUAUUGCAAAGUGCUAUACAAGAAAUACAAACUACGAACAUAAUAAAACAAUCACUUUCUGUACAAUGUCUGCUCUCACUGGGAUGACGACUGAUGGGAUGUUCAUAGCUUCCCGUUUAAAAGAAGAAUUAAUCAUAAUUUUCACGCAGGUUAAAAAAAGAACCCUCAAACAUCUCUCCUUUAUCUGACAGUUUUACAUUUAACCUCGCGUGCGUGUGCGUGUGCGCGCGUGUGUUAGACGGCCGCUAAUUGAAUAACGACAUGAAUGCGUCUGAUGGAUGAGCUGACACUUUCCUCACUUCUCUUCUUCCAUCAAUGUCAUCCUUCUAUUGGCUGUCAGCUUAGCUCUCAAACUUCCAUAAUAAUUCAGACUUUUAAAUUCACGAUUAUAUAAUUAAAUAAUUGUCAUUUUUGUUUAUUCAUAAAUGUUGUUUUUUUUGUUUUCAUAUAAAAUAUUAUAUUUUUUUUGACAAGUUGCGUUUGUGUGAAAGAGUUAUUCGGUCACAAUGAUAAAGAAAAAAAAAUAAUUUAGUCAUUAUGGUAAAAGUAUAUACAUUUUUGUAACUUCUACAGGAACAAAGUGGUAUAAUUCCAUCCAUCCAUCCAUUUCAUACCGCUUGUCCCUUUAUGAUAAAAAAAAAAAAUGGUCAUUUUACUUUAUAUAUUUUCACAAAUUAAUACAUUUUCCAAAACAAUUAAGUGGAAUCUCUGUAUCGUCCCUGUCAUGCUGCCAAACAUUG